rnacentral:rRNA from 1 species
UGGGGAAUCUUGGACAAUGGGGGCAACCCUGAUCCAGCCAUGCCGCGUGAGUGAUGAAGGCCUUAGGGUCGUAAAGCUCUUUCGCCUGUGAAGAUAAUGACGGUAGCAGGUAAAGAAACCCCGGCUAACUCCGUGCCAGCAGCCGCGGUAAUACGGAGGGGGUUAGCGUUGUUCGGAAUUACUGGGCGUAAAGCGCACGUAGGCGGACCAGAAAGUUGGGGGUGAAAUCCCGGGGGCUCAACCCCGGAACUGCCUCCAAAACUAUUGGUCUAGAGUUCGAGAGAGGUGAGUGGAAUUCCAAGUGUAGAGGUGAAAUUCGUAGAUAUUUGGAGGAACACCAGUGGCGAAGGCGGCUCACUGGCUCGAUACUGACGCUGAGGUGCGAAAGUGUGGGGAGCAAACAGGAUUAGAUACCCUGGUAGUCCACACCGUAAAACGAUGGAUGCUAGCCGUUGGGCAGUUUACUGUUCAGUGGCGCAGCUAACGCAUUAAGCAUCCGCCUGGGGAGUACGGUCGCAAGAUUAAAACUC